UUGCUUCAGGACGUCCACCUCCACGAGGAUACGGAGGAUUCUACCACUUCGAAGCACACAAUAAAUGGUGAAUAUACCGUGGCCUCGGUUUGUAAGGUGCAGUUCUUGGGCAUUGUUCGCACAAAGAUGAAUAACACCAUUUGGAUGGGUUGGGUACCCCCUAAAAUCAAGUUCUUUGCUUGGCUAGCAAUUCAAACCGCUUUGCCAAGCGAUGUUGGGACAAUUGCGGACUUCGACCGUUAUGCAAGAGAGAGCAAGAAUCCGCUGCACAACUCUUUUACAAACAUGGUUUGGGCACCCCCAAAAAUCAGGUUCUUUGCUUGGCUAGCAAUUCAAAAUCGUGUUUGGACCGUCAACCGCUUGGCCAAGCGAGGUUGGGACAAUUGCAGACAUUGA
rnacentral:rRNA from 1 species